UAUGUGAGAAGGAAUCGCACACGAUCUGGAGGUAGGGUGUUGAAUGCAGUUCCUGACUACAUCUGUCAGUUCUAGGAUUGUUUGCCUUGGAAAUCGAUACCUUGCAAUCAAAUCUGUGUCAUUGGAAGACCUGGGGGAAAUAGAAAAGAAAGCAAAGACAGGCAGUUGUGGCGUCAGCUGGUUGAGGCCUUAUGUGCUGAUAGGCACGAAGAGGAUAAGUAACUAAGAUAGUAGAGGACCUGAUAGUACUACCUGAGACAACUUUUCCUCUUAAUCGGUAAGUUACUAAGUUUAUUACUAAUGAUAAUAUACUUCUAAUAUAUAUCUAAAAUGGUAAAUCCUAUAAUUUUGCAUUAAAAUUAAUUUCCUAUGUACUUCAUCCUGAGUAAAAGUAUAGUGAGAGAGAAUCAUUUAUUUUAACUAUAAAGUGUAAAUAUAUGUAGUUCACUUGUCUCGCUAUGAUGUACCUUAAUUAAUGGCCAUAUUUUUAUGAUAAUUGCAUUAGCAGCUAGUUGUAAGUUAUUUGAUUAACUUGCAGGUUUGAACUUUAUAUGGUGACAUUUAUUUACCACAUUGGCAGUUCACCAUUGUAUAUAUUGGCCUAUUCCCAUAGAAUGGGCUUUCUUUUCAAGCAACUUUAUAAACAACCUUAAAUAUCUACUUUGCUGAAUAAACGCCUUGUUCCGAACCUCAACAGGAGUUGGUCAUCAUUACUAUUUGCAAUCAACACCCUGUUACACAUAUGCUUAAUUCACUUUUCAGUCCUACACUGUAUGAUGAACCAAUUCGCCAGCUACCAUUGGUGGUCUUUCACCGAUUCUCCAUCAAUGUCAUCGAUGUCAGAUUUCUCUAAAAUUUGCUCUUCAAUACAUAUUUCAUGACAAUUUUAUCUAACAAAGCAAUUUAAGGAUAGCCUCUUUGCAUUAAAAAGUAAAACGUCUGCUUAUAAGAGAUACUCACAUCUAAAGAUAGCAUGACCAUCACGGUUACUAUACAGUGACAAAAGUAAUGCUCUGAUUUAAUGUAUAAAGAAUAUUAAGAUACAUGGUUCACGGCAGGUAUGAGAGGGAUGCUGACUCCUCCUAGGCACCUGAUCCCACUUCUGGUGUGUCCACUUCUACUUCUGGUGUGUCCACCAGAACACCACUUCUGGUGUGUCCAGGGGUCCGUGUUUGUCCAACUCUUAAUGUGGUAUUCUUAUAAUCACUGGUUGUUAUCUUCACUUUUUCAUCAUCCAAAUACCAAUUUUCAAAAAACCAAAGUUUUUUGUUUUAUUUUUCUAAUUAAGUUUUAUAAACUUUUCAUGCCAUAAUUCUUAUACAAAUUUAAUAUCGCAAAAGCUGCAUAAAUUAGCAGCGUUAGUGUAGUUUCAUUGCUUAUUUUAAAAAAAAAAACAAAAAAACUUCAGACACUAACACCAGAAAUCAGAAGAAACAUUAUAUAAUGGUAAACUUGACACCAUACUAUAACAAGAGGCCCAGGGG